CUGUCCACAUGGAUGAAUGUAGAGAUCUCUGGUCUAGCUUUAACUCUGUUUGAUGGGCAGGUGGAGUCUACCCAGAGUAUGAUCAGGAUCCUGGGACUGUCUGCCACCCUGCCAAACUACCUGGAUGUGGCAGCCUUCCUGCACGUCAACCCCUAUAUCGGCUUGUUCUUCUUUGACAGCCGCUUCAGACCUGUGCCUCUUGGACAAACCUUUGUUGGGAUCAAAACCACAAACAAGAUCCAACAGAUUCAUGACAUGGAAGAGGUAUGCUACAGCAAGGUUCUGCAGCAGAUUAAAGCUGGACAUCAGGUCAUGGUUUUCGUUCAUGCUCGAAAUGCCACAGUGAGGACAGCUUUUGG